rnacentral:rRNA from 1 species
GUGAACGCUGGCGGUAGGCCUAACACAUGCAAGUCGAACGGCAGCACAGUAAGAGCUUGCUCUUACGGGUGGCGAGUGGCGGACGGGUGAGGAAUACAUCGGAAUCUAUUUUUUCGUGGGGGAUAACGUAAGGAAACUUACGCUAAUACCGCAUACGACCUACGGGUGAAAGCAGGGGAUCUUCGGACCUUGCGCGAUUGAAUGAGCCGAUGUCGGAUUAGCUAGUUGGCGGGGUAAAGGCCCACCAAGGCGACGAUCCGUAGCUGGUCUGAGAGGAUGAUCAGCCACACUGGAACUGAGACACGGUCCAGACUCCUACGGGAGGCAGCAGUGGGGAAUAUUGGGCAAUGGGCGCAAGCCUGAUCCAGCCAUACCGCGUGGGUGAAGAAGGCCUUCGGGUUGUAAAGCCCUUUUGUUGGGAAAGAAAAGCAGCAGGUUAAUACCCCGCUGUUCUGACGGUACCCAAAGAAUAAGCACCGGCUAACUUCGUG